rnacentral:sRNA from 1 species
GUCAGGUACCCUCUUGCCUGAAAAGGGCAGGGGCUUGCGUCAGCAAGCCUGGACCUGUUCAGAUUCAGCCAUGAAUCCUUUGUCUUGGCAGAGGGUUAUCGGGCUACGAUAGUCGGGAAGCGUUGAAGUCCUACCUACGGGUGCGUGCCAGCCUGUAGCUCUAGAAUCUCUGGGUUAAACAGCAAAACGGGGUCUAUGCCGUGCUCAGGGAACAGUACCGCCCACUAUCAUUAUCGAGGCAACCAUUACCCUAGCAAUAGG